rnacentral:rRNA from 1 species
GAGGAAGGUGGGGACGACGUCAAAUCAUCAUGCCCCUUAUGUCUUGGGCUACACACGUGCUACAAUGGCAGUUACAGAGGGAAGCGAAGGCGCAAGUUGGAGCAAAUCCCAAAAAAGCUGUCCCAGUUCGGAUUGUGGGCUGCAACCCGCCCACAUGAAGUCGGAGUUGCUAGUAAUCGCGGAUCAGCAUGCCGCGGUGAAUACGUUCCCGGGCCUUGUACACACCGCCCGUCACACCAUGGGAGUUGGGAGCGCCCGAAGUCAGUAUCCUAACCGUAAGGGGGGAGCUGCCGAAGGCGAGAUCAAUGACUGGGGUGAAGUCGUAACAAGGUA